GAUGAACGCUGGCGGCGUGCUUAACACAUGCAAGUCGAACGGAAAGGCUCCUGCUUGCAGGGGUACUCGAGUGGCGAACGGGUGAGUAACACGUGGGUGAUCUGCCCUGCACUUCGGGAUAAGCCGGGGAAACUGGGUCUAAUACCGGAUAGGACCACAGUUUGGAUGGUGUGGUGGAAAGUUUUUCGGUGUGGGAUGAGCUCGCGGCCUAUCAGCUUGUUGGUGGGGUAAUGGCCUACCAAGGCGUCGACGGGUAGCCGGCCUGAGAGGGUGUACGGCCACAUUGGGACUGAGAUACGGCCCAGACUCCUACGGGAGGCAGCAGUGGGGAAUAUUGCACAAUGGGCGCAAGCCUGAUGCAGCGACGCCGCGUGGGGGAUGACGGCCUUCGGGUUGUAAACUCCUUUCGCUAGGGACGAAGCGCAAGUGACGGUACCUGGAGAAGAAGCACCGGCUAACUACGUG
rnacentral:rRNA from 1 species